rnacentral:rRNA from 1 species
CCAGACUCCUACGGGAGGCAGCAGUGGAGAAUAUUGCACAAUGGGCGCAAGCCUGAUGCAGCCAUGCCGCGUGUGUGAAGAAGGCCUUCGGGUUGUAAAGCACUUUCAGCGGGGAGGAAGGCAAUAAGGUUAAUAACCUUGUUGAUUGACGUUACCCGCAGAAGAAGCACCGGCUAACUCCGUGCCAGCAGCCGCGGUAAUACGGAGGGUGCAAGCGUUAAUCGGAAUUACCGGGCGUAAAGCGCACGCAGGCGGUCUGUCAAGUCGGAUGUGAAAUCCCCGGGCUCAACCUGGGAACUGCAUUCGAAACUGGCAGGCUAGAGUCUUGUAGAGGGGGGUAGAAUUCCAGGUGUAGCGGUGAAAUGCGUAGAGAUCUGGAGGAAUACCGGUGGCGAAGGCGGCCCCCUGGACAAAGACUGACGCUCAGGUGCGAAAGCGUGGGGAGCAAACAGGAUUAGAUACCCCAGUA